UACAGAGACCUCAAGCAUUAUCCGGAUUUAUUGGGCGUAAAGGGUCCGCAGGUGGCCAGGCGCGUCAUCGGUUAAAUCUCUGGGCUCAACCCAGAAACCGCCGGUGAUACGGCCAGGCUUGAGAGUGGGAGAGGCCAGUGGAAUUACCGGUGUAGUAGUAAAAUGCGUUAAUAUCGGUAAGAACACCAAAAGCGAAGGCAGCUGGCUAGAACACUUCUGACACUCAGGGACGAAAGCGUGGGGAGCGAAUGGG
rnacentral:rRNA from 1 species